GGCGCAUGGGGACGAGGUGGCGCCGGAGAUGAUGACUUGGGCGGCCAGCCUCGCAGGCGGCGGUGGCAUCAGCCCCCCACUCAACGCGAACAAGAAGGCGUGCGGGGGCUCUUGCGCUGGAAAAGAGCGGUAUCAGCCCUACACCCGCGGCUGCAAAAUGGUUUACGGAUGCGGUGGAGGUAGCUAGCACAAUCUGAUGUAUAGGAGUACAUGCAACUGCUCGGGCUCUGAAUAAACGCAAGCAUCCAAUCCAAUCAAGCCAUAAUCUUUGAGUUUCAUGCAUCCUCUCUGCAGAUUGGCUUGUGCUUUGCAAAAAACAUACUACUACUAUCAUUUUUUCACCAGGAAAAAGAAUCAGUGUUUGGGGCAAGUGAA